rnacentral:rRNA from 1 species
GACGAACGCUGGCGGCGUGCCUAAUACAUGCAAGUAGGACGCAGUUGCGAACGGGUGAGUAACGCGUAGGUAACUACCUAUUAGAGGGGGAUAACUAUUGGACACGAUAGCUAAUCCCGCAUACUAUUAGCUGGACCUGCUUUGUAUUAGCUAGUAGGUAGGGUAAAGGCCUACCUAGGCCACGAUACAUAGCCGACCUGAGAGGGUGAACGGCCAAACUGGGAAGGAGGAACGGCCCAGACGCCGACGGGAGGCAGCAGGAGGGAAUCUUCGGGAAUGGGGGGAACCCUGACCGAGCAACGGCGCGUGAGUGAAGAAGGUUUUCGGAGCGUAAAGCUCUGUUGUGAAGGAAGCGGUACUUAAACAGAAAGGGACGGCUAACUACGUGCCAGCAGCCGCGGUAAUAC